rnacentral:lncRNA from 1 species
ACACGAAACUAGUUAUUUUGUAUUUUUUUCAAAAUUAAGUGCCAAACUAUUCAAAUCUUAAUGAUAAAGGUCUCCCAAAAAAUGAGCCUGAAACAAAGUUUUAAUGAUAAAAAUCUUAAUGAUAAAGGUCUCCCAAAAAAUUUUGAAACAAAAUGUGAUCGUUGAUCAUUCAGUAAAUUAUCGAUUACACCACAAUAUUAUGACAAAGAAAAUCACCCAAUAAAAAAAAAUCCCCAACUCCCACUACCCUAAAACCAUACACAAACAGCAAACAAGAUGCCAUAACUCUGCUUCACUUUCACUUACAAGCUCUUUAGGCUGAAACUCAAUUCCCUGGAGGAUGAUGCCAUAACUCUGAUUCAUCCCCCAUGCCAUAAUGAAAACUCAAAAUGCUCAUAUAUCCCUCGUGUCUUUAACAAAGUCCCAAAGUUCCAUCUCCAUCCACCCGUAUUCGUCUCUAUGUUGUGGAAAAUGUUUUUCUGGAUUUCUGCUUGUCUCAUAAGUCCAUGGCUCAUUAAUUUGGUUUUGUUAUCUUCCAAUUUACACCAAAAUAGUACAAUCAUGGCUCGUAAGUCCAGUACUUGUUAAUUUUGCCUCGCAUGUUAAGCGUGGUUGCAUCAAGAAUCUGAACUGGCUUUAAAAAUCUAUAUAUAUUAAAUCAGUUGUAAUAGUUGUCCCAAAUCGCUUUACAAAAAUAAAAUAAAAUGCUACUAUAACAAAAUAAAAAUAAAAGAUUUAUAGACUUUUCCGAAGGUUGUAUUUGAGACUGUAUUGAUUGAGAAGAACUUUCAUUAUGUGUUAGAUGAUUUGAUUGACUAAGCUCGAAGGGUGAAAAAAGAUUUAUAGAAUUUUCCGAAUGGCGUAUUUGAGAUUGUAGUGAUUGAGAAGAACUUUCAUUAUGUGUUAGAUGAUUUGAUUGACUAAGCUCGAAGGGUGAAAAAAGAUUUAUAGAAUUUUCCGAAUGGCGUAUUUGAGAUUGUAGUGAUUGAGAAGAACUUUCAUUAUGUGUUAGAUGAUUUGAUUGACUAAGCUCGAAGGGUGAAAAAAGAUUUAUAGAAUUUUCCGAAUGGCGUAUUUGAGAUUGUAGUGAUUGAGAAGAACUUUCAUUAUGUGUUAGAUGAUUUGAUUGACUAAGCUCGAAGGGUGAAAAAAGAUUUAUAGACUUUUCCGAAGAGCGUAAUUGAGACUGUAGUGAUUGAGAAGAACUGUCAUUAUGUGUUAGAUGAUUUGAUUCACUAUGCUCGAAGGGUGAAAAAAUAUUUAUAGACUUUUCCGAAGGGUGUAUUUGAGACAUUAGUGAUUGAGAAGAACGUUUAUUAUGUGCUACAUGAUUUGAUUGGCUAUGCUCGAAGGGUGAGAAAAUAUUUAUAGACUUUUCCGAAGGGCGUAUUUGAGACUGUAGUGAUUGAGAAGAACUUUCAUUAUGUGUUAAAUGAUUUGAUUGACUAAGCUCGAAGGGUGAAAAAAGAUUUAUAGGCUUUUCCGAAUGGCGUAUUUGAGACUGUAGUGAUUGAGAAGAACUUUCAUUAUGUGUUAGAUGAUUUGAUUGACUAUGCUCGAAGGGUGAAAAAAUAUUUAUAGACUUUUCCGAAGGGCGUAUUUGAGACAUUAGUGAUUGAGAAGAACUUUUAUUAUGUGCUACAUGAUCAUUUGAUUGGCUAUGCUCGAAGGAUGAAAAAAUAUUUAUAGACUUCUCCGAAGGGCGUAUUUGAGACAUUAGUGAUUGAGAAGAAAUUUUAUUAUGUGCUACAUGAUCAUUUGAUUGGCUAUGCUCGAAGGAUGAAAAAAUAUUUAUAGAGUUUUCCGAAGGGCGUAUUAGUGAUUGAGAUUCAUGAGAACUUCUAAUUUGUGCCAAAGAAUUUGUUUGACUAUCUCCGGAUUGUAGUCCAGCUCCAACUGUUGAAUUCUCCAUCAAUUUCGAUUGCGCUUCUCUGGACAAUGGUCUCUUAGAAUUUGAUCUAACAAAAGAGUGCAAGAAGUUAUAGAUUUUUAUUUUUUUUGCAAAAGCCCAAGAAUAAUGUAUUGUUGAAAAUUUAUUCCCUAAUCUAUAAGAAAUAGAUUACAUAUUGUCAACUGAAUACAUGAAAGUUGAUAAUAAAAUAUCAUACUCGUACCAUAAUUUAAAUCUACAAUGCUCAUAUAUAAGAAGAAAAAUUCGUAAGUUGAGAGCAUACCUUGCUGUACCAGAACUUCAAAAAACUCUCAGCACCUCAGCUGUUGAGAUUCAUACUUUAUGCUGCUGCUGCUGCUAUUAAUUUAUACAAAUGUUGCAAUUAUUAUCUCUUUAAUUGUGGAUUACCUAGCUAGCUGUAAACUAGUAAGCUUUAGACCGCUAAAGAGGGAUCGAGGGAAAUUAAGCGCUGAAAUUAAAAUUAAAUAACGAGUAGUUGUUGAAGAGGCCGGGUCAUGCUUUGGAGCAGAAAUCAAAAUAAAUAAAUAAUUCCCUCUUGUACUUGAUUGUUGCACUACUUGUUCCUACCCUAUUUAUGCAUUCAAUUCUACGUAAUUUGCAC